UUGAGCUUAGUGGGAGAGUAUUCGCCCGCGGCGCGAUAUCUUUUUUUAGAUAUUAAACGAGCUUCCGUUUCAUAUUAAAUUUAUAUUCCGAGUGAAGUAAUUUUCAGCGUCAUGAGCUUUAGCGAAUGACAAUAAAAAUUAUUCGAUGACGUAAAUCGCUGUUGACUUUGUGGAAGCCAUUCGACGUCAUCAUGGCGCUGUGUUCGUUGUAUCUUCGUUGAAUCAGCUUCCGAUUAAUCAAGACGAUAAUGGAUACUACAAAGCACGUCAUCGUUUUGUUCGUUCCUUAAAAAAAAAAAAUCAUAAAGAAACUGAUGCAAAAGUCAUCAAAAAUCAAACAAAUUAAGAGCAACUUUAUUGGGACAGUCAGAAAAUAAAUUUUAAUUCUCUCUUU